UAUUUAUAUGAUGAUAAACAAGGGACUUAAUACUGAAACGUAUGAUGUCACCUAAUUGUUUUUCCUGAUACAU
ensembl:snoRNA SNORD82 Small nucleolar RNA SNORD82